ensembl:lncRNA
UGUAUUUGAGGCUUCAUGAGAACCCAAGAAAAUAGAAGCAACCAAAGAGACGACGAGGAACAACAACAACAACAAGACGGUCCGGCACAGGCAAAGGGACACACAGGUCUUAAAUAGACAAGGUAACGAGACACAGGUGAAACACAUGAGGGCGGGGCAAACAAUCACAAAGGUGGGAACACAGGAGAAGUAAAACACAUGACAAACACAACUUUCAAAGUACAACAGGAAACGGGACAGAACCAAAGUAACAUCACACAGACAGCCAGAACACGGGGAACACCAACAACUCAAGAACCCAAAUAAUACAAAGCAGCAAGAAAAUAAUCUAGAAACAAUCCAGAACCCAAAACACAGAAUCAUGACAGAAGCCUAUUUAUUUGACUGCAGUAAGAAGAAGACAUGUUCCUGCUUCAGCAUCUUUGUUUGUUUCCUGUUUCUGACCAUAAACCACAUGUGAAGUCAUACAUCUUCUUCGUCUGAAGCUGAUCAGGAACAUUUGUGACUGUCCAGUGUACAUGUCAGUGUGGACAUAUCUGUCUGACAGCUGCUGACUGCAUCAACAAACAGCCACAGUGAGGAGACAUGGAAGCUGAGUUUGGACUCCUGAUGAUGAUUCUAGGACUCUCUCUUGGUGUGGACACAUACUGUGACGGCAGACAGGGUGGAGCUCAGUGUUAUGGAGUUUUGGGAGCAUCUGUGACUCUCAGGCUGAUGGAUGAUGCUUCAGAAAUAUUUAGAUUCCAAUGGAGAAAAGAAUCAUCAGUGAUACUCAAGUGGAGAAAUAAUAAGAUUACAAAUACGUUACAAUACAGAUCUGAGUUUAUUCUCUCUAAUGGAACAUUUAGGAUCAAUAACCUGAGCAGGGAUGAUGGUGGUGAAUAUGUCCUUGAGAUACAUGAUAAUUCAGGGAGACUGACAUCACAGCAGUCUCUGCAUCUGUCUGUUGAAGCUCCUGUGUCCUCUGUCCUGCUGACCUCUGAGUGUCUGACCAGUGGACAGAAGAGGCUGUCCUGCUCCUCUGGGGGAGGGGACAGUCCUCAGUGGAGCUGGACUCUGGAUGGACGUCCACUGACAGACGCUGAGCUCGACUCUGGAAACAGUGAGACCAACAACAUCACUGUGAAACAAGGCGUCUCAGGAUAUCUGGUCUGCACAGUCAGUAACCAUGUCAGCAGAGUCUGUGGCUUUGUGGACAUUAAGUGUGAACUGUCCAAUGAGACACAAAGAUCAGACCAAGUGUUUGAAAGUAAUCACACCGUGUGUGUCAAACCGACAACAGCCCCUACCACUACCACUACUGGGGGUAAGGAGCCUGUGUCAAUUACACCCUGCACUAAUCAAACAUCCAACAAUCAAACUGCCAGCAGUGAUGAGCAAUUGUUCACGAAAAUCUGGCCAAUAAUGGCUGGCGUUCUCUCAGCAAUGGUAAUUUUCUUGGUUCUUGGCGUAACAGUGAUCCUUCUUCAGAUGAAAAAGAAAAACAACAGUCCAAGAGAGGAAGAUGACCAGGAACUGACCUAUGCUGAUGUUAGGGUUGUGAAGCGGCAGGGAAGACAGGCAAAGCAGGAGAACCAAAGGGCGGAGGAUGAGGUGGAGUAUGGCCAGGUCAAGUUUUCAGAGCGCCCUCGGCAGACUGUUCCAGCAGCAGCAGCAGAGGACGAGUGUCUGUACUCCAUGGUCCGUAAAGGCAGGUGAUGUGCUUUGAUAAAGACUCAGACGCGUGACUUCCCAUCAAGCCAUCAAUUUGUUUCACUUUUCUUUACUGUCAUAUAUUUGGGGCAUCAUCUGGUCGGAGCUAUAGGCCUAACAUUACCAUCCCUGCCUGAAGAGACUGCACUCAAAAGGAUACACCUUAAAACACAAGUAAUAAUAAUUAUGUGUUACCUCAACGUUAUUUUGGAAUAACAUAAAUUUCAUCGGAAUGCUGGCCACGAGAACUCACAGGCUUAUGAUGGUGUGUGUGUGUGUGUUGGGGGGAAGUGUUUUUAUCUGCCUUCAUCUCUGUGGUUUAGAUGAUUUAAGAAGUGUUUUGGGUUUCUCACAGUAAGCACAAAUUUGUUUCCAUGAAGUAAAAGCUUCUGCUUUUUCUCUCCUCCUCUGUUGCCAAAGUAUUGCAGAUUUUGUAAGUUGUUUCACCGGCUCCUGUUUGAGUGAGUUGUGUAAACUAUAAUGGUGCUCCUGUCUCCAUAUCUUAAACUGAUAUAACAUCAGUACAGCUGAUCCAUCCACAUAUGUGUUCAUAUGUGCCGAUUAAGCAUUUUUUUCUUUUUUCACUGAAACUCGGCAACUAAUGUGGUGUUCAGUAUGCACCAUUACAGGUGUAGGAAGGAAGGCAGCGUCUGAGCUGAGUGAUUGUUUAUCUUUGAAAUCCAUCAAGGUUUCUAUUUAUAGUUUGAUGCGCAACAGUUUCAAAUGAACCAAUGAAAAACGGAAAACAUACAACAUCAAUGUGAUACAACCAGAGAUAUUUACCUUUCAUGUGCAGAUUUUAUAUUGCAUUAGGUUAUUUAACAUUCAAGCCUGGACAACUGUAGAAGUAUUUAUACUGAAGUGGUUAUUUUAUAUCGACCAACAAUAUGUCAGUCAUCAGGGAAAAAAGGACUGGACACAUUAAGUAGUUUUUGUUAUUUCUGAAUUGCUGUGCAGAAGUCUUUGUUGGAGUGCUUUAAAUGCUUUGUGAAUUUUGCAGCACUUUUAUAGAGGUUUUCUUUUUUUUUUCCGGAGCUAUUUUCAAACCGUACUUGUAGUGUUAAUUAAUAGAAUGUGUUUAAGGCGCCUGUAAAAAACAACUGUGUAUUAUCAUGUGUUAAGUUUAGUGCAGUUAGUGCAGUAGUGUGGUUCACUGUUAGUUUAGUUCUGUCUUAUGUGGUCAGAGAGAAUGCACCAAUCACUGGUGUACUUGUGUAUAUAUGUAUAUAUAUUAUAUAAUAUGUAUGUAUAUUUAAUAUAAUUAUAUAUAUUAUAUAUAUAAUUAUGUGUGUGUGUGUAGGGUAUUUAAAGGUAGGGUAGGAGAUUUCCUUCUGAUGCACUUUAUGUUCAAUUAGUUUGACUUCUCUUUACAAUCCGGUAGCAACCAAUUAGUUUGGCAGCUUCGCAUUAAAACAAAGAAUAUAAAUCAUCUGUGGAAGCUAUAAAAUGCUAAAAACAUCAGCCAAUCCUCCGGGUGGACCCUGCGUGGAGUAUUGGCUGGUUGUCACUCUCUUCCUGCUCUGCGUGCACCAGAGAGGAACGUGCAUGAUGGCCGAAGUCACAGGCCGCAGCUCGUCUUCAGGUUAAUGCGCGUCCAUGUGAUUGGGAGGCGUGGCUUCGGGGUGAGCUCCAAGAGGAAGGGGCGUGUGUUUACUUUUGAAAUCUGGCUGACUCUCACUGAGUUUUCAAAAUCUCCUACCCUACCUUUAAUUUAAUGAAUAUAUAUAUAUAUAUAUAUAUAUAUAUUUAAUUGAAAUAUUUUUUGUAAUGAUUCCUUUUUUUUGUGUACAUGCACUGUUGUGUGACAGUAUGUGCUUCAGUUUGUUGAGAUGUUUACUGUGGGAUUAAUCAAAGACAGAGGUUAUACAGUAUGUUCGGUUUGAUAGUCUAGGGUUAAAGGUUGACAGUCAUUCAGCUGAUUCACACUGCCAUAAAAAUUACGAUCCACAAUAGUAUAAUGUCCUUAAAUAACCUCCAGAAAUCCUUUUUAUUCUUGUGUUUUAUUACACUUAUUCUUUUCUCAAGUCACUCAAUACUACUUUGCUUCAUCAUCAUCAGCGUUGGUUAAUCCUUUACACAGAAAACCCACAGGGACUGUUACACCCGAACUCUGGAUCAAUUUGUUACAUCAGAAUUAAACAUUUAUUUUGUCCUUAUGAAAGCCAGGAGGUUUUAUCUCUGUCAUGACUCUUUCAUGUGAUGUUUUCUUUCCAUGCCAAAGCUAUUAAACAAUAAAACC